rnacentral:rRNA from 1 species
UACGGGAGGCAGCAGUGGGGAAUAUUGCACAAUGGGCGCAAGCCUGAUGCAACCAUGCCGCGUGUAUGAAAAAGGCCUUCGGGUUGUAAAGUACUUUCAGUCGUGAGGAAGGUGUUAAGGUUAAUAACCUUAGCAAUUGACGUUAGCGACAGAAGAAGCACCGGCUAACUCCGUGCCAGCAGCCGCGGUAAUACGGAGGGUGCGAGCGUUAAUCGGAAUUACUGGGCGUAAAGGGCACGCAGGCGGUUAAUUAAGUUGGAUGUGAAAUCCCCGGGCUUAACCUGGGAAUGGCAUUCAAGACUGGUUAGCUAGAGUCUUGUAGAGGGGGUAGAAUUCCAUGUGUAGCGGUGAAAUGCGUAGAGAUGUGGAGGAUACCGGCGGCGAAGGCGGCCCCUGGACAAAGACUGACGCUCAUGUGCGAAAGCGUGGGGAGCAAACAGGGAUUAGAUACC